ACCAGACUCCUACGGGAGGCAGCAGUGGGGAAUAUUGCACAAUGGGGGAAACCCUGAUGCAGCGACGCCGCGUGAGUGAAGAAGUAUUUCGGUAUGUAAAGCUCUCUCAGCAGGGAAGAAAUACUGACCUUACGGUCAGCAGACGGUACCUGACUAAGAAGCCCCGGCUAACUACGUGCCAGCAGCCGCGGUAAUACGUAGGGGGCAAGCGUUAUCCGGAUUUACUGGGUGUAAAGGGAGCGUAGACGGUGAAGUAAGUCUGGAGUGAAAGGCGGGGGCCCAACCCCCGGACUGCUCUGGAAACUAUUUGACUGGAGUGCAGGAGAGGUAAGCGGAAUUCCUAGUGUAGCGGUGAAAUGCGUAGAUAUUAGGAGGAACACCAGUGGCGAAGGCGGCUUACUGGACUGUAACUGACGUUGAGGCUCGAAAGCGUGGGGAGCAAACAGGAUUAGAUACCCCUGUAGA
rnacentral:rRNA from 1 species